GCUCAGAUGCUUCCUGAGUAUCUACAAGAGCAGCCAAAGCUGAGCUCUGAACGCUUGGUCCCACCCUUCAAAGCUUCCCUGCUUGCUACCUCCAUCAAAUGGCUCCUGGUUAGAGCAGUCUGGGAGUCAGGCAUGAAGUCCCCUGACCAUUAAACUGGACUUCCUGCACUUCACUCAGCAGCAUCUCCAGUGACAUGAGCCCAAGCCAUCAUCCACUUCCCCUUAAGCCCCUUUUGUUGAAACUUCCUGACCCUGUUCACCUUCACCUCACUUCAUCUUACUCUUCCACCAGCUGUUCUUCAGCUGGUCUUUCUGUAACAUAUUUUCUUUGCUCCCCUGGGAGAUUUUUCUUUUUUAAAGAUGGUGUUUCACUAUGUAGCUCAGGUUAACCACAAAUUCAAUGUAGCCAAGGAUGACUUUGAACUCCUGAUUCUCUUGCCUCCACCACCUAAGCCCUGGGAUUUUCGGUGUGUAUCACCUGGCCUUAACAUUUCCUUUUUUUCCCCUGUGUGUCUGUGUGUAUGUUGUUGCUCCUCUAGCUCAUCCCUCAGAUCUCAACCUCAGAAAGCUGGUGCUGACACCCUCCCUAACUUCUUGCUCUCUUUUGCUAUCCUGUUUAUUUACUAUAUAGCAUUUGGCCAGCUUGUGUUGAGCACACUUUAAUAAUAAUUAUAAGCUUGUGUGUUUCUUGUCAAUCUCCCUACUAUUGCUUCUUAUGGGUAUAGAUUGGAGGUAGGCACAUCAGAGAGCUCUGGGAGACAGAAAUGGAGCUCAGUGGAGACAAGACUCAAUGAGAGAAGAAACCAUUUCUCACACCAUGUUUCUAUGGUCCAUCUCAAAUCAUGACCUAGGACCUCCUAGAUGGAUGGAGGAUGGAUGAAUGGGUGAUAUAUAUGUAAUACAUGAAUGGUCGGUGGAUAGAGGGAUGAUGGCCUGAUAGGAGAAUUCUAGAUUUUAGCAUAAAGUAACAGAAAUCCUGUUUAAGACAUUGGGAGUAGUUAAGAAAGACUCUGUAGCUACAGAAAGACCCAUUCCUGGGUUGGAGACCCAUUUCAUAAAUUCGGACAAUGUCAUUCCAAAUCCUGGACGAGAAAACUCAUCCAUGAGUACACUCAGGAAAUACCUUCCUGAAGAAUGAGAUGGAAAAUGAAAACCAAAUGGCUGAGGAAUGCUGCCUGCUUUUCUCAUUCUUCGCUGGGGGCAGAGCUGCUUGGACUCAACUGAAUCACGGGUUGAUGAGCUGAAGCAGGAUGACCGACAAUACUCUGGGACAUGUUUACAUGACAGAACUUGGUUUUGCAAUAUCAGCAUCAUUCCUUGGAACAUCAGGGACAAAUUCCAGAGGAGAAGGCUUUCUAUCUAUGGACUCCCAGUGACUCAUGCAACCAACACAAGGGACACAAAUGGCUAUUGGUCACAGCUCAAUGGAUCAGGCAACUCAGACUAUGCCAAAUGUUAUCAGAAUGAGCUCACAUAGAAACUUCAAGAAUACUCAGUGAGAGGCAGAAGAUAGUGGCUGCCUCAUCUGCACACUACCACAUUCCUUUAUCCUGCCUAACCUAUGUGGUGAGAGAAAUGACUUACUAUGAUGUUUGGGAAAUCAAACCCAACCCCAACACUACCAAAGAAGAACUAAAAAAGACUACAAGCCAAAUGUUGUCUCUGAUACCAAGAGAAUUGUGUAACAAAGGAGGCAAACAGGUAAUUUAGGAGGAGAGAAGGUGAUACUGGGGUUCUCUUGUAGACAUCUUUGAUGUUUUCUGGAGGAGACAGAGGGAGGAUGCAGAGACAAAAGAGAAGUAAACAUGUUGCGUGUGAACUACAAUAACCUUGGACUUACACAAGGAUGCAACAAGACUGGCUUUGCAAAAGAAUGUGCUUUGUGACAAAUGUGAAAACCGUCAUGGUAAAAAAGGAGCUAUGGCAUACUGGCCCAACUGCAGAGAUAGUGGGAUCCAAAUUUGGAUUCUCAGAAAGGAUGGGGAAUGGUUCCAGAAAUUCAGUCUGUGUGCAUGGAGUACCAGAGCUAUGGAGACUUUCCACCCCACUUAAAGACAGAUGUAAAGGCUGCAAUAGAAAGGAGACUGGGAGAAGAUUCUAGAAGACUGUGUUGACUGGGAAUUUUUGUCAACUUAAUACAAGCUAGACUCAUCUGAGAAGAGAUAAUCUCAAUUGAGAAAAUGCCACCAUCAGACUGGCCUGCAUAUAGGCCUGAAGGGAAUUUUCUUGGUUGAUGACUGAUAUGGAAGGGCCCAGCACACUAUGAGCAGUGCCAUCCCUGGGCACUGGGGUGUAUAAGAAACCAACUAAGCAAGCCUGAAGGAGCAAGCCAGUAAGUUCCUCCAUGAUCUCUGUCUGCUUCAGUUCCUGCCAUCAAGUUUCUGCCUUGAGCUCCUGCCCUGAUGUCCUUUUCUCAUGAACUACAGACUGCUCGUGUGUUUGAACACUCGGUCCCCAGCCGGUAGUGCUGUUUGGGGAGGUGAUAAGAUCUUUGAUACACGGGGCUCAGCUGCUGAAUAUAAGCCUCUUGGGCCCUGCAUCGUACCUAAGAUCUCUAUUUCCUGAUGUACUGAGAUGUGAACAAGCUGUGCUGCAAGCUUCUACCUCCAUGACCAAGCUGCUUCAGCCCCCAUACUUUGCCUGCCAUGAUGGACUGUAUUUGCCUGAGCCAAGAGCCGAUGUAACCUUCUCCCAUAGCUGCUUCUAUCAGAGAUUUGAUCACGGUGAUAUAAAAGUAACUAAUACAGACAGCCAGGCUGGUUGGCAGCAAUGACAGAAAGGAAGGGGGUCAGAGAGCCAGGAGAAGCUGCACUGUGAUGCCUAACAGGGAGCAGACCCAAGGGUUGCAAAUGGUCAUAGAGCCCCAAACUGGCUGAGUUCGGGAGGCAUAGCCAAGUGCACCAGGAAGGGGGAGGAAGGGCUCAGGCUAGUGGGUGCACACCACAGAAAAACAGGAAGGACUCCAACUCACUCAGCCCACUGCUCCUUACAAUGAGUUUUCCAGUGGAAUAUAGCUGAAGCCACUUUUGGUAUGGGCUCCAGACUGGAGGUAGGAGUGGCUCCAGCCACUAGGUGCUACAGAGAGAGAGACAACAGGUAUACAUGCCACAGACAGCAUCCUGGGAAAUGUUAGCUUUAUACCCCACCCCAAGACAGAGGAGUAAGAGUAAUGUGGUUGCUCAGUAGCUGUGGUGGUUUGAAUAAGAAUGCCCCCCAUAGGCUCAUAGAUUUGAAUGCUUAGUCACCAGGAGUGGUACUAUUUGAAAGAAUUAAGAGGUUUGGCUUUGUUGGAGUAGGUGUGGCCUUGUUGGAGGAAGUGUGUCACUGUGGGUGGGCUUUGGGGUUUCAAAAGCCCAAGCCAGGCCUGGUGGUUCUCUCUGCCUCUUGCCUGUGGAUCCAGAUGCAGAACUCUCAGUUACCUCUCCAGCACCACGUCUGCCUGCACACUGUCAUGCUCCUUACCGUGAGGAUAGUGGACUAAACAUCUGAACUGCUUGAUAUCCCAUAAGCAAGGCAAGAAAUGCUAAGGACUCAGAGCCCUGCCUUCCUGUCCUCAGCCUUCUUUCCUUAUCCCCUCAGCGCCAUGCCUCCCCUCAGACCUAUACCUCCCAUCAGGCCAGCAACAGCCUGUAACUCAGGGUCUCCAGCACCGAGGACUCCAUGUGUGAAUGCUGCAAUGGAGACUAGGGAUGGAACCACUGUAAGAACUGAGGCAUUGAAUGAACCUCAAGACCUUGGCUAUGAGAAACUUGGGAUGUGCAAAAGUAACAAAAGCAGAUAGACCACAAAUGUUGUGGGAAAUUCAAGAGCAUUGAUUUCCCCUCUCUUUAUGAUUUUUUUAUUUUUAUAAAAGCAUUAUAGAGCUAUUAUAAGUAUUUGAACAAUAUUAAAGCACAUAAAGAGAAAAAAUCUUGUAUCUUCAAUAUAACAACACCCCCAAAUAACCAUAGCAACAACCAUAACGUUGUUGCAGGUGACUUCCUUUAUGCGCACAGACAAGCAGGUAGGUGACCAAGAAAGCAAAAGCAGAUAGUGCGUCAUGGACAGAUGGAUGGGUAGAUACAUUGAUGAAUAGAUGAAUGAAUUGGUGGGUGAGUGGAAGAGAUCAUAAAGAGGUCAUACUUCAAUGUUUUUUUAUUCUUAUUUGAUAUACAUUGGUGUUGCCAUGAUUGCUGGGUCCCCUGUAACUGGAGCUACAGACAGUUGUGAGCUGCUAUGCUGUUGCUGAGAAUUGAACCCAGGUCCUCUGAAAGAGCACUUACUGUUUUUUUAUAUGAGGGCCUUUCCAUGAACAUGAAAUCCACAGAUUCUGCUAACCUGACUUAAGGAUUCACCUCUCUCCACCUCCCCUAUGCUGGGAUCACAAGACAUAAGCCACUGCCCCCAGCUGUAAAAAAAUGGGUGCCGGGGAGCUGAACUCAGGACUUCGUGCUUGUGGGACAAGCAUUUACCCAGUCUCCAGCCUCAAGAGCUGGAAUUUCCACAUUACUUUCCUUGGCUGCAAUAACUUGCUGGCUGUGUGGCCUUGAGUUAAACACUCAUCCUCUCUGGGCCAUAGUGCCCUCCGAAAACAAGGGACUAAUAAGGGCUUCCUUGCUGUCAUCAGGACUUAACUGAGUAUGCCUGGGAAAGAGCUUUGUAAAUAGUGUCAUUGUCUCCUUCCCUCCAGAGCUCUCAGGGUAGAGCCUGCAGCCUCAGUUGGAACUCAGUCAGGAAUCAACCCCCGUUGAUGAGAAAAACACCACCAGAAGUCACAAAAAAACAAAACAGUUUUCUUGCCAGAAGACAGAAGGGGAGAACGGCUGUUCCGAUGGCCGUGAACCUUCACCAAGUUCAGGUUCAGAGUGAAGUCUACCCCAAUACUAUUUGUUCACACCAUUUAUUCUCAAAACUAUUAUUUGACAGCAGAAGUCAUUUCCUCCAGACACUAUCAAGAGGGCCCCUGGCUAUCAUCUGCAUUCCUUUAGUCAAGAUUUCUUCUUCUGGAGCAGACAAUUCUAGGCAAAGUUGAGCCGACCUGCUUCUAUGGAUAUGACACCUGAAAGGCCAAGGCCAGAGAAGGUUCACUGGAAGCCUGAAGAGGGAGGCAGCAGGCCAGUACUAAGAAAGCACAAAGGCCUGAAGACAGAGACAUUUAUUUCUGGCCCCAACUCAAAGCCAAGACCUUGGACGAGUCCUCUGUCCUCUAGGCAGAGGAGUGGCUUGUUUUCCCAUCUACAACACACAGGCUUCCUGGAUCCUCUCCCAAGGCCUUGCUAACUCUUCCUCAUGCUAUUCUGGGAGAGGUACAGCGUUGACAUGAUAGUUGUGAUUUAUCUGAGAGAGUUUUCAGAGAAAGGAAUCCAACAAGAACCUAGAGACUACAGACUAGGACAAAUGGGAAUAUUAGAAGCCCUGGCCAAAAGGGCAGAGAGACAGAGCUAGAGUGAUUGGUUUAUAGGGCAAAGUGAGGAAGAUGGGUCUGGGAUUCAGAUACAAGACACACCAAGAAGCGAAGGGAAGAGAAGUUGUCUGAACCCAGGCUCAGCAAGCCAGUGUCUCCCCUGAUGCAUACAAUCUAGGAGCAAAAUACAGAAGCCUGUUGUCUCCAAGCAAAGGGAAGGGAAUUAGUAAGGCUGUAACAGGGGCCAUUGUAUUGAUGGAUUGAUUGAUGGAUCAAUUGAUUGAUGAUUGAUUUGGGGGGGUGUGCAUGUUCACAUGUAUGCAAGUACCUGUGGAGGCUGGUGGGUGAUAUUGAGUUACCUUCCUCAGGCCCUCAAUUGCUUCCCAUCUUUUUUUGAGACAGACUGUAUUAUUUGCUUUUCUGGUGCUGUGAUAACCAAAAGCAACUAAGAGGAGGAAAGGGUCUAGUUUAGCUCCCAGUUACAGAGAGACAGAAUCUCAUAGCAGAAAAGGCAUGGCAAAUGUAUCAGGAAGCCGGCUGAUCACAUUUUCAUCUACACAAAAGGAAGUGGGGUAAGACAAUAAAUUUAUCAAGCCCUGCCCCCCAGGGACAUACUUCCUCCAACAAGGUACCACCUCAAAAAGAUUCCAUAAUCUCCCCAAACAGCACCACCAACUGGGGACCAAGUUUUCAAAUAAAUGAGACUAUAUGGGACAUUUCUCCUUUAAACCAUCACAUAGGCUGUCUCACUGAACCUAGAGCUCACUGAUCCAGCUAGUCUGGCUAGUUAGCAAGUCUCAGUACUGGCAUUACAGAUGAACACCACUAUGCUGGGCUUUUUCCAUGGAUGCCAGGGAUUCAAGCCCAGGUCCUCAUGUUUGUACACCAAGCACUUUACUGAGUGAAGCAUCUUCCCAGCCCAAAGGGCCAUUUUUGAUUCUUGGCUGGGAUGGUAUGGCAAAAGGUGUGUAAGGGGUAUGUUUCAUCCUGAGUCUAGAGGUUUGAAAAAGUAGACUAGACAGAAGAGGGACCAUUAAAUACAUUUCAGAGGUUUGGAAAGGAUUAAGAGCGCCCAAAGUUCUGAAAAUCAUGUUUCUCACGUUUCCACAUCUCUAAGAUGAAGCCUGGGCCUCUAAAGAUCUUUCUCUCGCCCAUGAGCAAAACCAAGGAUCAUUUCACCCUCCCAGCACCCAAGUCCUCCCACCUUUCAGGAGUAGUCAAGACUCCCAGCUUGGUUCCAUACUCAAGCCUCAGGGAGGAGCUGUCUCUGAGAGCCUGGGAGCCCACAGGUGAGGCCCAGCAGGAGGAGAAAAGAGACCUCCUGCUGUUAGCUCUCAGAGUCUUGGGCUGACUUCCCAAGCUGGCUUCCUGUACUUUGCUGCAGUUCUAACAUGUAGCCCCAAAAGACAGACAGAAGAAAGCUCAUUUUGGGGUUUCUCCUUAAUCCAGGAAUGAUGCCCACCAUGUCAUUGGGUCCAUUUGUUACCAGAAUUGUUGGGGUCGAGCCUGGACUGGCUACCCUAACAAGCUAGGAUCAACUAUCUGUCCUCAACAGGCCAAUUGUACAGACAAAUAGCAUUGAAAAGCAGAGGAGGGAAACACAUUUGACAAAACUGCAAUUGGGAAGAUAGGUGAUAAGGCGGCUCAGUGACCAACCUUGUCCAUCAUCAGAGUUUUAAUAAAUGGCUAUGGAUAUUGUAACUAAGGAAUCCAGGCUAUCCUGCUGACAAGAAGUCACCCUCUGGUGACAUCUUUUCCUGGCUGGCACCAGAAGUCAGCCUUUCCUUUCUCCAGCAUGAGAUUCCUGGGGAAAUUCCAAUUCCUGAAGUCCAUUGUUAAAGUAGUAUGAUAGCCAAAGCAAGAGGCACACACCUGUAAUCUCAGUACUUAGCAGAUAGAGAAAGGGAACUCCAAAGUUCAAGGUUAUCCUCAGCUACAGAGCAAGUUUGAGGCCAGCCUGGGCCACUUAAGACAACAUAACAAAGUAAAUAUGAGCUGGCUUACCUCAUUUUGAUCUUAAAGAAUUACCUUCUGUGAAUGACACUGGCAGGCAGUUUUAUCAAGAGCCAUGUUUAGACUUAGGGAUGAGCAAGCAAAGCUAGUACUGUAAAACUCACCCUGGCCCUCAGUCAGCACAGCUCGUUUGUUAUCUGUAACAUCCUUGUUUGACAGCCCUCUAGGAAAACAUGAAUCUUGCAGGGACUCUUGGCUGCAUUAUUUGUGUUGAAGUUUCUCAACCCUCUGGCACCACAGGAAAGGCAAAUCAGAAGUCCCAGUGAAGACUCUCAUGCCCCCUUAGUUUCUUGCCUUCCUAUCCUGCCACCAUUGAACAGGAACUUCCUUCCACAAUCCCAUCUCCUAGAUGGCGGCUAUUCUCCAGGUCCCCUCUUUUUAUUCUUUACGUCUGCUUGUGGUAAAAUGCAUACAUACAGCAUGGCAUUUAUCAUUGUAGAGCUGGUGAGAUGGUUCCUCAAGUAAAGACUCCAGCCGCCAAGCCUGAUGGCUGAGUUCAAUCCCAGGGCCCAUAUGAUGGAAGGAGACUAUCGCCUCCAUAAAGUGGUCCCCUGAAGGACACCACAACUGCAUAAGCAUAUCCCAACACACAGGCAAACAAUAAAUAAUAAACAAUGGAGGUUUGUUGGUUUUGUUUUUUAAGGCACAUCCUAGGAUAGUUAAGGGUACAACAGAGAAACCCUGUCUCAAAAAGAAGUAAAACAACAACAACAAAACUACUGUAGCCAUUUUUUUAAUUUUUAUUGAUUUUUUUGUGAAUUUCACAUAAUACACCCCAAUCCCAUUCAUCUCCAUAUCCCCCCUCCAUCCUUGCUAUCUGCCCCCAAAAGAAAUAAAAAAUAAAUAAAAAUAAAAACAAAUCAAAAACUAAAAAAGAAAAACAAGCAAGCAAACAAAAACCUCAUUUCACUGUGGAGGAGUAGCCAUUUUUAAAAAGCACAAUCUAAUGGAAUUAAGUAUACUCAUCUUUUCAUUCAUCAUCUCUCCUUUCUGAAAUUGCCUACAAGUCUAAAAGUGACAGGAUCACCUUUUUUAUUAGACAGAUUCCAGGAAUUUGACUCCUCUUUGCUCCUGCACAGAGCUGUGUGGAGCUGAAGAGCAGGAGGUUCAUGCUUGGCCUCAAAUGCACCCCACUAAUGGCCAUUAUAAAUCACCCACACAUUUGCUGACUCAGCUAAAAGCCUUGGGCCCAGCAGUGGCAAGGGCUUUCUUCCUGGGGACCUGCCCAGCUAAGGGCCAGAGCUUCAGGGGAGUACAACAUAACACAUGUUAGACGCUCCAAGUCAGAUGGGGGC
ensembl:lncRNA